rnacentral:rRNA from 1 species
UGGGGAAUCUUGGACAAUGGGGGCAACCCUGAUCCAGCCAUGCCGCGUGAGUGAUGAAGGCCUUAGGGUCGUAAAGCUCUUUCGCCUGUGAAGAUAAUGACGGUAGCAGGUAAAGAAACCCCGGCUAACUCCGUGCCAGCAGCCGCGGUAAUACGGAGGGGGUUAGCGUUGUUCGGAAUUACUGGGCGUAAAGCGCACGUAGGCGGACCAGAAAGUUGGGGGUGAAAUCCCGGGGGCUCAACCCCGGAACUGCCUCCAAAACUAUUGGUCUAGAGUUCGAGAGAGGUGAGUGGAAUUCCAAGUGUAGAGGUGAAAUUCGUAGAUAUUUGGAGGAACACCAGUGGCGAAGGCGGCUCACUGGCUCGAUACUGACGCUGAGGUGCGAAAGUGUGGGGAGCAAAACAGGAUUAGAUACCCCUGGUAGUCCCACACCGUAAAACGAUGAAUGCCCAGUCGUCGGGGUAGCAUGCUAUUCGGUGACACACCUAACGGAUUAAGCAUUCCGCCUGGGGAGUACGGUCGCAAGAUU